ACCCGUCCUGCGGGAGGGAAACCAAGAUUAAGAACUACCCACCCCACCACCCUUCCUCGACUCUUCCGUCCUUGCAUGGAGGUGUGUAUCUGUAUCUUACAGGUGGAGUCCAAAGCUAAAGAUUAACUUCUCAUUUAGGUCACCACAGAGAACUGAGUAGAGAAAAAUCGUAAUUCCCAAAGAUACAUGCACCCCAAUGUUCACUGCAGGACCAUUUACAAUAUCCAGAACAUGGAAGCAAUCUAAAUGUCCAUCAACAAAGAAAUGGAUAAAGAACAUGUGGCACAUAUACACAAUGGAAUAUUACUCAGCCAUAAAAGGAACGAAAUUGUGUCAUUUCCAGAAAUACUGAUGGACCUAGAGACUUGGACAGAGUAAAGAAGAGUAUCACAUGGCUAAUGAAAAAGUUUAGUUAGUAACUCACCAUCAAAUAUAUCCACCAUUCUGAAGAAAGCCAGAGAUAAUGAUGACUUCCCACUGCCAGUGCGACCACAUAUGCCCACCUAAGAAAGCAACUGUCACUCAGAGAAAAGAGGACUCAGACAAAAGAAAAAAGUAGGCAAAGCAUUUUUAACUUAGAUAAGACACCAUGAUAAAACUGCAACUCUAUUUAAACAGUUACAUUAAAAUUGUCGUUCUCCUCUCAGGUCUCCUUUCUGAGUUAUCAUUA